UUUUUUUUUUUUUUUUAAUUGAAACACAUGUAAAAAUGUUAAAUAAAGGGCUAUGUCUUCAUAUAGGUUUGUUUUUUCAAGUGAUUAUUCCUUUACAAGCCUUUCACCUCUAUUUGUUAAAAACUUUAACUAAUUACUUUUAUAAAAUAACUGGCUGUGGUUCUAACCCUGAGGUAAUACUCACUAGGGAGACAGUUGCUGGGGAGGCCAGAUGCCUCCGACCUGUCCCGUGCCCGCAACCCAGAGGAGUUGCUGGACCUGCCCCACGUCAGCUACCCGGAGGAGUUGUUGGGGCUGCUUCUAACCACCUACCCCGAGGAACCCAUGGUGCCGGACACCCUGAGGACACCACCGGGACCCAGGUCAUGCAAGACAGUAUCAAAAGCCUUACUAAAGUCAAGAUAUACCACGUCUAACACUUUCCCCCCUAUCCACAAGGCUUGCUACCCUGCCAAAGUCAUGGACUUGUCUCUACUUCUGCGCACAGACAGAUCUUAACAAGGGACUACAGAAUUUUAUCUGUUUAUAUAAAGCCCUGAUUAUAACCUCACAUAGCCUGGAAGUUUGGAAGGAUUUUCCUUGUUCUUUGCCUCACAUUUUGAUCCUUUCACAUCUGCUUUAUAAAUGACUGUAGUUUAUGCAACUAUAAAGUGUAGCGUCCAGCUAUGUUAUUGUUCAAUCACAAACAAAGCACAGUUUGAUGUGCUUGACGUGAGAAAUUCUAGUUCAUUGUAUACUUCAAAUCUACUCUUGACAAUACAUGAUAUUGUUAACAAUCUGACAGAUUCACAAACAAAUGCAUUUGUUUGUUAAACAAUUUUUUUACAUUAAGGUAUUUAAUUAGUGAAACAAUCAUUAUCAAUGUAACAAGCUGAAAUACGGCAACUUGAUACAAGACUGAGGUAACAAAAUACUUUGCCAAAAACCUAAAGACUCCCACACAAGGGUUAAAAGUUCAGUGGUUAUUAUGGGUGAGACAAUUCACAAAAGUUAUAGAAAGUCUGUACACAAAUGGCAUGCAGUGGGCUGCUGAAAAAUACGGCCAAAAAUAGUGCAACAGUGUUCACAAGAAACAAAUAUAGAAAUUGGUUUACAUUGUAAUGCGACAAAUGGAUUGUAUACUGAAAACUUCUGUUGAUGCCUUAAUUGAGUGCUAAUGGGACAAACAUGCAUUUUGGCACUGAAUUACUUUAAAAUUACACACACUAAUAAAUUAAUAAUAAAUAUUGCCUGAAAUAUAUCUUAUAUCUUCACAAGUCUGAAAUUAGUCAUCCUGAAAAAUAGACUAAAAAGGCCUGUUUUUACAAAACAGCUGAAGUUUUACUGUCUGACUGAUAACACUUACAAGGUUUAUGAUAUCCUUUCAUAGAGGUGAUAUUUUAAUCAAUGUCUAUUAUUUCAACAGGAGCUUUUAAUUCACAUUAAAGGUGCCAGAUACUGAGUCCCCAAAAAUUAGUAAUUAUUAGAAUUCAUACUGUUUUGUAUUUAACAUUAAUAAAUGUAUUUAAAAAUGGAUUAAGCUAA